CAGCAGACACUGGACAGGAAGUGUGUCACAAUGUUGCGACCACGCACGGUGGGGAACAGCUCCAGCUACUCACGACAGGUCUUGCAGGAGGUGCACAGCGAGGAGUGGGCAAGGCGGACUAUCGACUACCUCACUGAUUGUGAGGUCCAUAAAAAGUUGUGUGUCCUCAGUCCGAACCUGUAUACCAACCGCCACCCACCUUCAGUCGUCUGCCCCUGGCUCAGUGGUAUGAAACCGUCCACACAAAUGAGGUUCUUGGCCACCUGGAUGAGUUGAAAGGUGUUAUAACCUCAACUUAUGGCAGAAUCUUAAAGCUGGACUCCACCAAGAAGGUUAACUGAUGUAAAUUUGUUCUCAUUCGUGUUUAUUAGUAUGUCCAAUGAUUUGCUAUUGAGAACACGGCCACGUGGAUGAGCAACAUCGGCAAUGAACUUGGCCAAGUUCAUCAUCUUUGGCAGUACCUGCCGGUUUUUGGACUGCCUCCGAGGUCCUAACACAUGACAAAAGGUCCGAACAAAUCCGAACGAGGUCCUAACCUGCUCCUAACCAGAUGAAGGAAGCAAAGCCUGAAUCCUAUUGGAGGGAUGUAUGCCUUAAGUAUGCUCGGGGCCAAUUCCAUUUUACCACAGGCAAACGGCCAGGGGCCACAAAAUGGAAAAAGGCCUUAGAAAAAAUAUGCUUGCCCGCUGCAGAAGCAAAUGAACACCAAGGAUCUGUUUGGGAGAAGCCUUAAGUGCUCCUGUGGGUUCCACAAGCCAAGGCAACGCGCCUGGAGGCUCAAUAAAGCUGCCCAGGAGGAUGAGGAGCUUACGUCAAGGGGGGAUCCGGCACGAAAGAGGCUGAGAAAAGAAAACUACCACUAUACUUGCAAGGGGUGCGGCCAGGCCAAAAAUAAAGUCACUGGACACACCCAGCUGAAGGGGCGAUGGUAUUGUCCUGCCUCAGGAAUGACCCUGGAAGAGUGGAGGAAUAGUGUGUAGUUGCUGUCUUUCUGUCUGUCUGUCUCUCUGUUGUUUGUCUCUGUCUCUCUGUCUGUCUCUCUGAUGUUCGUCUCUGUCGUUAAAAUAAAGUUUAAUAAUUGUAUUUGAGCCAAGAACAGCCUUCACGUCUUUAUUUAAUUUCCUCUUGAAUACCAGGACAGUGAGUGUCAUCCAUAAUUGAAUGUGAUUGUUAAAACUAAAGCCAGUCAAUCAGAAUAAGCUUUAUUGCCAGGAAGGUUUGCAUCAACCAGGAAUUCUUUGUGGGUAAGUUCAAGUUCAAGUGUUUUUAUUUGUCACAUACAAUAAAUUGAAGUGAAAUGUUAAAGGGUCAAUGCUCCACACUGUGCAAAAAUAAAUAAAAAUAUAAAAUAAAUUAGUUAAUUUAUUUAGAUAAAAUAAAAAAAGUAAAUAAAAUCAAAUUUAACUAGAACUGCAAGCAGUUAUGCAGGGGUCCAAGAAAUGUGCAUUUCCCCGGCACAACGCGAAGCAUGUGUUCAAAACAAAUGGGCACGGCGUGUGCCAAAAGUUGCAGCUGACUCCAGUGAAUCUGUGGAUAUAAAGGUUUUGACUGUGGGAGGUUCGUUGUGGGAGUUAUAGCCCAAAACGCGUUUUCAGAACAUUCCAUUGGCCAGUUAGGAGAUAUAUUAUUUUGUCGUUUUUUUUCGCCCCCUUGACAAUUUUCCAAAGACAAUUUUCCUUUGCCAAAUAACUCCCGCCCACAUUAAUAAUUCUUGGCCAUAUUUUUUAUAUAGACUCGGGUUUGCCCCUUGAUGGUUCCCUUAUAGUUUGAAGAACAUUCCUCAGGCCAAUUAGAAGAUAUACAAUUUCCUCGUUUAUUGCGCCCCCUAAUGGCGAAAUAUUCCGAAUUCUUUAUUGAACGCCAUUAAGGGUAGCACCGACAUGUGUCUAAAAUUUGGACUUAAUCUGAUGUCUAAUUUUGGUAUUUUUUGAUUUUUUGC
ensembl:lncRNA